UACAGAGACUGCGAGCGUUAUUCGGAUUCACUGGGCGUAAAGGGUGCGCAGGCGGCCGUGUGUGUGAGGCGUGAAAGCCCGGGGCUUAACCCCGGAAUUGCACCUCAAACUACAUGGCUAGAGCAUUGGAGAGGGUAGCAGAAUUCGUGGUGUAGCAGUGAAAUGCGUAGAUAUCAUGAGGAAUACCAGAGGCGAAGGCGGCUACCUGGACAAUUGCUGACGCUCAGGCACGAAAGCGUGGGGAGCGAACAGG
rnacentral:rRNA from 1 species